AUUGAACGCUGGCGGCAGGCCUAACACAUGCAAGUCGAGCGAGCGGCGGACGGGUGAGUAAUGUCUGGGAAACUGCCUGAUGGAGGGGGAUAACUACUGGAAACGGUAGCUAAUACCGCAUACCAUCAGAUGUGCCCAGAUGGGAUUAGCUAGUAGGUGGGGUAACGGCUCACCUAGGCGACGAUCCCUAGCGGGGCUGAGAGGAUGACCAGCCACACUGGAACUGAGGCACGGGCCAGAGUCCUACGGGAGGCAGGAGUGGGGAAUAGUGGACAAUGGGCGCAAGCCUGAUGCAGCCAUGCCGCGUGUGUGAAGAAGGCCUUCGGGUUGUAAAGCACUUACAGCGGGGAGGCGUUACCCGCAGAAGAAGCACCGGCUAACUCCGUGCCAGCAGCCGCGGUAAUAC
rnacentral:rRNA from 1 species